GGAGAGAUGGCAGAGUGGCCGAUCGCACCGGUCUUGAAAACCGGAGUACCCGCAAGGGUACCCAGGGUUCGAAUCCCUGUCUCUCCG
rnacentral:tRNA from 1 species